CCAUCCUCUCCCUUGUGAUUUGUGCCUCUGGGAAGGCUUGAAGAUCAUCUGAGCCUGACUAAAGCUACACUUCAGUGCUACCACUCAGAAAAGACGAUUCUCAGGACCAGAAGAGCUGAAAUUCCUUCUCUGGGCAACCCUGGAAGAAUGAGAUAGAAGCUUCAUUUUAUAGGUCCAGGAAGUUGUUUUCUCUGCUGAAUAGGAAAAGAAGAUUUUAGAUGAGAAGACACUGCUGGAUCCAGUUGCACCAGUGGCCAGCCAAAUCCUGUGUCUUUUCCUGAGUAUGAUGGGAGCACCGUGCUGAACCAGGAACACCCAAAGGUGGAGGCUGGUGGAACCCUGGAGGCUUUUUGUCCCAGGCAAAGGUGUUUUUUCAGCACAAAGGCUGACACCAGACUGCUAUUUUGAAAGUGUUGUGGUGUGGCUGCCUUGGCUGCUUGAGGCAAGGCCUGGGAAUUAGGCAUAGCACAGCCCAGCUUUCUUUUAGGCAUCUGUAGACAACAUGUGUUGAGAGCGGGGGCAGCGCAGCAGCUGGGCCACCUGACUCGGCUCACGGGGAAGGGCAGCCGAGGGACAGCUCUGCCCUCUCUGGACCAGCGCCACCCCAAUGAGGGAUCCCAGAGUCAACUCCAGGAGCUUGCUGCGGGGAGUUUCUGCCUCACAGACCAGUCCUGAGGAGGCAGACCCAUUGCUUCUGGGGGAGUUGCUUUCCUUUUAGCACUCCCCAGAGCUAUGGGGUGAGGUGUUUUUCAUGCUGGAGUCUGACUGCACUGUGGAGAGACAACACGGUAUAUGAGGAAGAUGCUGUAGUUCCAUGGGCAUGGCAUGACCUGGGAACGAAGACGAAUCCUCUUCAGGAAAAACUCACCAUUAGAGUGGUUUCAAAUGGACUGUUUUUUAAUAAAUGCCUUUUUUUGAUACGUUCAUGA